ensembl:snRNA U2 U2 spliceosomal RNA
AUUGCUUCUCGGCCUUUUAGCUAAGAUCAAGUGUAGCUGUUUUGAGGUUACUUACAAAUUAGAGUAAAAUUGUUUUACACUUUCAGUUGUUUGGAAUCCACUCUUAAAUUUAGGGUACUUUCUUCCGGAGUUCCACUUUUCCCGAAAUCCACGAAAAGCGAAA